CCCUUAGAUGUCCUGGGCCGCACGCGUGCUACACUGAUGCAUACAGCGAGUACUUUCCAGCUCCGCGAGGCAGCUGGUAAUCAGCAAUAUGCAUCGUGCUGGGGAUAGAUCUUUGGAAUUAUAGAUCUUGAACGAGGAAUUCCUAGUAAGCGCAAGUCAUUAGCUUGCACUGAUUAAGUCCCUGCCCUUUGUACACACCGCCCGUCGCUCCUACCGAUUUCGAGUGAUUCGGUGAACCUUUUGGACAGCGUCUGUCCUCGUGUCAGAUGCUGAAAGUCAAGUAAACCAUAUCACUUAGAGGAAGGAGAAGUCGUAACA
rnacentral:rRNA from 1 species